rnacentral:rRNA from 1 species
AUGGGAACCAUUGUCCUAAAGUCAGCUGGAUCAUCAAAGUUCUCUGUGCAGCAAAGCCUGAUAGGCGUGUUGGAUGUUGCUGCAUGUCUCAGCCAACAGAGUGAUGAUACUGCUGUUGGAUCUCCAGCAACAUGCUACCAUAGCUCUUCGGGAAGCAAAAAGCUGAGAAUUGGCAGAUGA